UACGUAGGGGGCUAGCGUUGUCCGGAAUCAUUGGGCGUAAAGCGCGUGUAGGCGGUUCGGUAAGUCCGCUGUGAAAGUCGGGGGCUCAACCCUCGAAUGCCGGUGGAUACUGUCGGACUAGAGUACGGAAGAGGCGAGUGGAAUUCCUGGUGUAGCGGUGAAAUGCGCAGAUAUCAGGAGGAACACCAAUUGCGAAGGCAGCUCGCUGGGACGUUACUGACGCUGAGGCGCGAAAGCUAGGGGAGCAAACGGG
rnacentral:rRNA from 1 species